UACGUAGGGUGCAAGCGUUGUCCGGAAUUAUUGGGCGUAAGGAGCUCGUAGGCGGUUUGUCGCGUCUGCUGUGAAAUCCCAGGGCUUAACCCUGGGCCUGCAGUGGGUACGGGCAAACUAGAGUGCGGUAGGGGAGACUGGAAUUCCUGGUGUAGCGGUGGAAUGCGCAGAUAUCAGGAGGAACACCGGUGGCGAAGGUGGGUCUCUGGGCUGUAACUGACGCUGAGGAGCGAAAGCGUGGGUAGCGAACAGG
rnacentral:rRNA from 1 species